GUGUACUAUUUCUGAUGAAAUAUAUGAUUCGUCUGAGCCAGUGCACCACGUGGAGGAGAAGCAGGAGCAGGAGGUUCGGGAGGAUCCGGACUUAAACAUGUUUACUGAAGACAUUCUUAGUACUGAAAGUGGAAAGGACAAUUUGAAAACACCGAUUUCCCCUAAGGCUUCGCCACCCGUGCAUGGCAGCAAGUGCAAACUAUGCGGCAAAAUGAUUGGAAGGUUGAGCACCUUGGGAAACCACGUAAUGAACCAACAUUACACAGCAAUAAGAGG